rnacentral:rRNA from 1 species
UUGAACGCUGGCGGCAUGCCUUACACAUGCAAGUCGAACGGCAGCACGGGUGCUUGCACCUGGUGGCGAGUGGCGAACGGGGGAGUAAUACAUCGGAACAUGUCCUGUAGUGGGGGAUAGCCCGGCGAAAGCCGGAUUAAUACCGCAUACGAUCUACGGAUGAAAGCGGGGGACCUUCGGGCCUCGCGCUAUAGGGUUGGCCGAUGGCUGAUUAGCUAGUUGGUGGGGUAAAGGCCUACCAAGGCGACGAUCAGUAGCUGGUCUGAGAGGACGACCAGCCACACUGGGACUGAGACACGGCCCAGACUCCUACGGGAGGCAGCAGUGGGGAAUUUUGGACAAUGGGCGAAAGCCUGAUCCAGCAAUGCCGCGUGUGUGAAGAAGGCCUUCGGGUUGUAAAGCACUUUUGUCCGGAAAGAAAUCCUUGGCCCUAAUACGGUCGGGGGAUGACGGUACCGGAAGAAUAAGCACCGGCUAACUACGUG